GGAGAUAUAGUAUACAGUUUUAAAGAUUUAUUUUAGGAAUGCCAACAAACACAGUCUUUUGCUUUUACUUCAAAUUUUGCAAGUAAAUGUUCUAAAUUGUAUGAUUAAAAAUUUCCAAUAAAAAAUUAAAGACAGCCGACUCCGUAUAUAAUAUAACACUUCGUAGUGAGUGAACUUAGUUUGAAAUCGUUCGUGGGAAAAAAUGUAUAACAACAAAGACAGUCUGUUGUAUGAUCCUUUGAGAUUUUUCGGCUUCAUAGGUUUCCAUCCAAUAUUUAACUCCUUAAUUCUGAAAAUCAGUUUUUAUUCCACUACAACAUUGGGACUUUUCAUCUACACUAUGGCUAUAAUAGGUAUUGUAAAACCUGAAGAAACAAAUAGUUUUUUCACGCUGGAGUGCCUCCAAACUUGUAUUUUAUUAAGCCAUACCAUAGGGAAACAAGUAAAUUACUACAUGAAUUCUAACAAAAUUGUUAAAUUUUUGCAAAUGACCACAGAAUUUUGGGAAUUUGAGACGUUUCAAGGAACAAUUCAUCCCGAAAGUAACUUUCUUUUCCACACUGUUAGGAAAAUGAUUCGUUAUUACUUCCUGGUGACAACAUUCGGUUUCAUAUUUUUUCUAAUUAAUCCACCAGUUUGUUAUGUUCCCGAAGGAUGGGAGCUUUUCUUGCGAAUUGUUCGAGCUUUAACAUUUUGGAGCUACUACACCAGUACUAUGGCCACCGAUGCUUUUUUUGUAGCUUGUGGAACGUUAUUACUGAUACAGUUUAAACUACUGGGGCACAAAUUUAAGAAUUUGGACACACAAAGUCAGGAAAAGUGGAACAACUUGCGACAAAAUGUGAAGCACCAGAUUUUUUUACACAGAAGUUGCAAAUUGUUGAACCAAAUUUUCGCAGUGGUUUUUCUGAUCCAGUUUCUCAACUCGAUAGCCGCACUGGCGAUCUCUAUUUUCAUCUUCAGCAAACCAGGUUCUUGGAACAACAGAUUUAAAACCUUGUUUUACCUAGUGGUGGUACUGUUCGAAAAUGCUUUCUAUUGCGUUCCUGCUGAGCUAGUUUCAGCUGAAGCUCUAAAGAUUUGUGAUCAACUUUUUGCGUCAAAAUGGUACGAAUCAAAUGUUGCACAGUUCAGGAAAUCUCUUGUAAUCGUGUUGUGUUGUACCCAAAAAGUGAUCAAAUUUUCAAGCUUUGGCUUGGUUGAAAUGAAUCUCCAGACGUUCGUUUUGAUUUCCAAAACGGCUCUUUCCUUCUACGCGUUCCUUAACCAACUGAAACGCUGAAAAAUUCCAUCUUUGCGUAAAAUUUACUUUUGUAAUUGUGUUCGUUACCAUCAUGCCUUGCAUGAAUAUGUAAACUACGCUAAGUAAAGCCAGAAACUGGAGUAAAUUUACUGAAACGCUUUUAAACACCUGCACCAACUCAUCUAAUUUUUAAUCAUGAGAUGCUUAUGGCCAAAGUUUUAAACAGAAGGAAUUUCGAUAUGAAUUUAUUUUACGACAGUAAUCAAAGACGCCUGGAAUUUUUAAUAAUGUCAUUUCGUUCUGACAGUUUGUGCUUGUGUUAUUAUUUUGCACGCUUGUAGAGAAUUGGACCAAAAGUAAAACUUUUGUUGCAGGUAGUUAGUGUUGGUAGUUUGAUUUGCUGCCAUGCCUAAGAGGAGCUACACGAGAAGAAAACGUUGGCCCAGUCGGUCGCUCGGUCAACGACGACCGACCAUGUCUUGGAGUUACUCACGAAGGCCAACCAGUCGCAGUUUUUUGCAAGUUGGGUUAGGAGAACAACGGCGGGUGAUUGACUCGAUUUUUCCUAAUUCACACAAUUGUUUGGACAGUUUUUAAAACGUCAGUGUUUAUUUUACAAACGGUGCCAACAAACUACAAUGUCAAUACUUGAUUCGUGUGAAGAUCGACGAAAAUAAGUGGAGUCUUGCUAUAUUUGGACUAUGAAUUAUGAAAUACUCAGUCGAAAUGUGUGUGACUAAAGUUUUACAAAAUUACACUCUAUUUUAAGAAACUCGUUCAUUAUUUAUAACACAUCGAACACAUUUUCCUGUUUUGCUUCCGAGGUUCUUUUAAUUAAUUUAUUGACCAAAAAACGGAUAAUUAUUUUUGGGCUACUACAGUUUUCUGGUCAAUUGGAGCAAGUAAUUGAAAAGCACAUCGCAACGUGAACUCGACUCAAGUUAACAAAGUAGCAGCAAUUAGUUUUCAAUCAUGUAACUUAGUUCUUCGUUAUUAAUUUAUGAAAUAAAUACGUGGCUCUUUCAUUCAUUAAAUAUUCAACAUUUUGUCUUGAACAUAAUUUGUAAUAUAAACUACCGUUUGGUUCAAUUCAACGCUCCGUUUUGAAUUACUCGUAGUUGUCUUCAGAUUUCAGAAAUAAUGUGAAACAUCAUUAUUUUGUAUUUUUAGAUCAGAGAAAUUGCACGUUUUUGAACCAACUUUACACUCGAACGAGCCAUUCGACGCACUAGGUAAAAAACUGAACUGUUUCUUAGAGUGCCGGCUCGGCAGGUGAAAUCUAUACCUACAGGGUGUUUCAAGUUUUAGUGCCAGUGAAAAAAUAAAUACUUCUAGUUGCUUAAAAGAAAAAACUCGUUUGUAAACGAUAGGGUUAGAACGCUUCAAUUUUAUGCUUUAACGUUAUCCCAAAUUUUCAUAGUAUGAGCGUGAAAUGCAAAAAACUACAAUUAUUCAAUUAUUGCAAUCGUUUUUUUUAUAAUAAAAUUCCUCUUAUUUUUAAGUGAGAAUUUCGAAAUUGAAAUAGUAAAAAAUCCAAGGCGUUUUGAGCAAGUAAGUAAGUAAGUGAAAAAUUACCAAAAAACUCGAAGUGAUACCUUUCGAACGUACAGUAAUUAGAAAUCGCAGUGUUCUUAGGUGCGCGAUAAGAUUGCCUCACCUGGUACAUUAAAUACAUAACUACGGAGGACUAUAACUUAGGAGACGAAACGAGAUACAAAAUCGUACGAUUUUCUGUACCCAUAAAAAAUAGUACAGCAGAGUAAAAUGAGGGCGCUUCGAAUGUAAUACCGUCUCGGUGCCAAAUCGUUUUAAAUUAAUUUAAAUUCAACCAAUUCACUAAUUACUUCGAAAAAAGUGCAGUAAUAUUAGACUUUGCAUUUUCAACAGACGAGAAAAACUGACGACUAAAAUUUUCAUGAGAAACAUGAGAAAAGAAAUAUUUAAAGUGUAAAAUUUGUGCUUCGUUCUAUAUUUUAAAAAACGUUGCGAAUACGGUUAAAGAUACAAGAAAAAUGCUUUGAAGAAAGUUGUAGAGAAUUAAAUUUUCUUUAAAAAAGUCAGCGAGACUAUAUCAUUAUCUUCAACGGUUUAGGCCCUACAGACGUUCAAAGACGCUCAAGAGACGGAUUUCCUUUAUUUUUCCGGUGGUCAAGUGUUGGUAAGUGAAUUUACACCUAAACCGUUGAAGACAGAAAUAUGGUGUCGCAGACUUUUUUGUAGAAAAUUUAAUACUCUACAACCUCGUUCCUUUAAUUUUUUUGUAUCUUUAACCGUAUUCGCAGCAUUUUGAUAAAUAGGCGACGGUGCCCAAAAAAUUAUCGCUUUGAAUUAUUAAUUUGCGUUCCACCUGCUAUUUUUACAAACGCAGCGAACACGGUUGAAGAUACAAAAAAGUGUAAAGAACGUGAUUGUAGAGAAUUAAAUUUUCUAUAAAAAAGUCCGCGACACCAUAUUUCUAUCUCCAAUGGUUUAGGUAUAAUUUCACUUUCCAAUACUUGACCACCGGCAAAAUGAAAUAAAUCCGUGGCUUGAGUCUUUGAAUGACUUUGGGGCCUAAAUGGUUAAACAUAGGGAUAUAGUUUUGCGGAGUUUUUUAAAGGAAUUUUAAUUCUCUACAACUUCUUCCUAACAUUUUCUUGUAUCUGUAACCGUAUUCGCAGCGUUUUGAAAAAUAUGGGGCAGAGUGCAAAUUGGUAAAUAUUUGAAAUUUUUUUAAAUAUAGUUUAAGAUAUGAUUUUUGCAUUAUUUUUAUCUCCUAUUAUUGAGAAUUUAAUGCUCUAUCUGCCUGUGUUUUUUUGUUCACUUUGUACUAACCGUUAUUUAAUUACAACUAUUUUUAUAAAUUCAUUGCUCUGAAAACUUAGACGAUAAUGGAACAACUGCGCCUCUAGCGACAUUAACGGAACUAUCGAGGACGGGGACGUUUUAUUUGUACGUCGUUUCAUAUCCUAAGUUUUAGAUGUCCGUACACAUAACAUGUUCAAAUAGAAUGUUAAGUAAAAGUAUACUUUUGUUUGAACUUUAUUAAUUUCAUCCUAAAGCCGACUCAUCCUUAUUAGUAAUUCCGUUACAAAUAAUUAGUCAGUAGGAAGAAAUUUUGCAAAAUAAUUGAAUUUUUUGCACAAAAUAGGUAACCAGGGGAUUUUUGGCUUGCAUUUGAGGAAAAAUCGUUUUUCUUUACUUGUCCAUGCGUUUCUGUAGGUUUUGAUAAGGUGUGACUGGUAUUGGAGAGCUUGAUUUUUAUUGAUUGGCUCAUUGUGCUUAUUUAAAUGUCCCAGCCCUAAAAUCCAAACGAAUUGCGUCACCCCCAUACGUAAUAAAUAAUGUAUGAGCAGAUGUGGAGCUUUUUAUGUCUCUUUUGCGGCUUCCAUAUAGGUGGUGGUGGUGGUUAUUGGCAGAGGUCAUAAAUCGUGAAAUUCUAUCGGAUUUUCCUUCUAAUCCCUGCAACUGUUCCGUAUUUCAUGCACGUUUAUUUUCUUUAUGUAACUGCUUUUAAAACUUGGGGCAUAACCCGAAAUUUACGACUGAAUAUGAACCAGUAACGAUUCUGUUUAUAAAUCGGUUUGUAUGUUGCUUUACGAUCAAUUAGUUUGUGGUAUUUUUCACCGCAGAAAUGCCACGAUUUCUUGAAAAUAUACACUUUAAACAGUUACUCAUGUAAUUAAGCUGGUUUACAUGAUGACCCGACAAUGUGGAGAUAGACAAGAAAAUAAACCAGCUGCAUACAGUUAGCUUAAGCAGAUAUACAUCAUCAGAAUGUAAAUGUAGUCGUAAAACUCCACAAGAUGGAAAUUGUGAAAUUAAUGACAAAGUUUUGUACAGCAUCCAUCUAAAUUAACCCUCGAUAUGGUACGGUCACUAAUAAAUUUUCAAUUCAAGUUAGCUUUCCUUAGCCGCUCCAAAAUAACUGAAGCGAGGCUUUUGUGACAAAAUUCAGCUUAAUCGUGAGUUAGUGAAUCGAUACCAACCCUCUAUUGUUUGAUGAAUUCUCCUCAAUUUUAUAAUAUUUGAUGAUUUUCCGGUUACUGGAUUCUGAAGCUUUACCGGAGUCUAAAUAUAACUGAGCCAUGUUUGAGUUCAGGAGGGUAUGUAAUCGAUGGUUUUUAACUACGCUUCGGUCACAAAACUAACUAAAUAAUAAACGUAUCCUUCGUCACUGCCAUUUCCGAAACACUUCGAUCGAUUUCUGUUUUUGGCGAGCGAAAAAUACCAAGGGAUUGGCAACUUUAAUAAAUUCAAAACAUCGUGAAACUAGUUUAGACAUCGUUGCCAAUUUUGUUUUGGCCUGUUAUAGGUAGAUACGAUAUAAUGACACACGACUAUAAAAUAUUCACUAUGUAUAUACCAUUGACCUUGUUUCUGGUUAAUAAUUUAUGGAAGUUAAUUUGAAGGCUUUUGUUGGUGGCCCCAAGUAAACAACCUUAAACAGUUCCAGGCUAAGGAUCUAAGAAUUGAUUGUCUACAUAAAACUUAUGACUUUUCCCCACUCCCUACCUCCUCCAAUCCAAAGUUGAUGUCAAUACAAAUUUAAUUUUCACAAAAUUAGACCCAAAAUUGUGUGAUUUUGCGUUUUUCGAAUUUUUAUACACGUUUUUGAGGUAAAAACAUUAGAAAUUGUUAUGCAGGAUGGUUCAGUCCAGGUCCCGUCUUCUUUAGCUCAGUUAUUAUUAUUAUUUAAGUUUGAGUUUUGAUAUUUUGUAGAUGUUAUCAGUGGCGCACCCAAGCUCUAAUUAGUGGCUUGAAUUUUAAAUUUGUUUAUAAAAAAAAUUGAAAAAGGACGCAUAUGGGCGCUUAGAUACGCUUCCGAUUUUUGCUGUUCCGAUAAAUACUUAAAGACAUGUUUUGUGUUGUUUUUCUUGAAAUUUGCUGCAAAAUUUAUCAAUUCUCGUCAGUUCACGGAUGCAUUUAGUCUAGCCGUUAAAUAUUUAGCCCGUGAAUCUUAGUAUUUUAUGUUAGUUUAUUUGUAUAAAGCAAUUUUUUCAUUUUUUAAGAUAUAAAAUAUAAAAGAUGCUAUAAGAUAAAGAUAGAAAUAAGUUAAUCUAAAAUAUGACAGAAAAACGGAAAUCAGAAAACUCUCUACUCAUCUGCUUGAUUUUAUAACAAGACAAUAUGAAGUCAACUACUAAUCUUACAACUACAACUAGCAGUAGUAUUACUAAUACAAGUAGUUCAAGUGUCAUUGGUACGGUGACUGUAAUUACUAUAUUUAUUAUAAAUUUUUUGAAGUUCAAGAAAAAAAUAUUUAAACAAUAUACUCUUUGAAGAUUUUUUUAUUGUGAAUUUUUAUAGUUUUUACAUACAUUUGUAUUUUUCUAUACAUACAUAUGUAACAAUUAAAUUGUUUUUAGUUUAAAAUACAUAUCUUUUUAUCAUGGCAUAUAUUUAAAACAUAAUUUUUGGACCCCUUUAAAAAAAAUCUGAGUGCGCCACUGGAUGUCAUUUAUAUUUAUAUUAUAGGACAUAUUAGGAUUAGGAUGCCCUUAAAGUUUUUUUAUUUGUUUAGAAAUUAAAAAUUAAAUAUUUAAAAUUAACUAAAAUUAAAAUCCAAAAAAAAUAUUUUAUUUUAAAAAUUAACAGGAAUUUACAAAAACAGUGCUUCUUUGUAAAGAAGUAGGUCAUUAGUAAGUACGUGUUGAACAAGGUCUAACAGACUUAUUAAUUACGUUUGAUUGAUUUGAAUUACUACAGUUAAAUUACAAUUAAUUUCCAAACUUUUUAAACUUUAGGGACUUUUAUUUUGGUUAUGUUUAUUUACUUAUUUCAAAUGGCAACCCCUGUUUAUUUUUAUAUCAUUCGAUGCAGAAUUACAAAAGGAACAUUUUUUCUUAUUACAACCCUAACGCAUAUUUUGUGUUAUUUGCCAAAAACUUGUUUUGGCAACUAUUUUACUGACAAAUUUAAUGAAUAAAAUUAUAGCAUGUUAUUAAAAAAUUCUUAUUUAUUUAACAAGUCUGAGUGUAAAUUGGACGCUUUAUUUCACGAGUAAACUGUUAAACCACGAGUGAAACCGACUGGUUUAUCAUCCACGAGUUGAAAUAAAUGAACCGAUUUACACGAAAACGAGUUGAAUACAUCAUUUUAUUCUUCGAAUUAGACUCAACAAGGCUUAACAUUGCUUUAAAUCUGUUAAAAAUAGUUUGACGUUUCUUACUGACAAAUGUCAAACAGUUGUCAAAACUUCCUUACACAGGAGAAAAACCAUAAAUUUUGACAGUGUCGAAGGACAAAUUAUUAUUGUCACAUAAUACUUUUUUGGGACAUUGUAUAAUCAAAAAUAUUUUUCUAAAAUAUAGACUGAUCCAGAAAUACUGAGUCUGUUGGCAACCCAUUUGAAAGUAUUUGUGCUCGUAAUUUGCAACACUGUAACCGAAUUCGAUUUCUCUUGACAAUUAUUUGACGUACAACCCCACAAGAAUGUUAAAUUGUUGUUAACUGGAAGAGUUCUCCAUUGGUAUCCUUAAAAAUUUAAGUCCAGUGUUGCCAACAGACUCAGUAUUUCUGGAUCAGUCUUUACAUCCUAGAGUACAAAUAUAACGUCCACAAAAUAUCAAAAGUUUAACUUUACUAAUAACUCAGCUACGAAAGACGGGAUCUGAGCUGGACCACCUGUAUUGUAGGAGAACAUUUUACAACAAUAAAUUUUGAU